rnacentral:lncRNA from 1 species
AGGACCCUAACUUUGAAAGUCGGUGAAGGACGGGCGGCAACAUGGUACGGCAUGCGCGCCAAUGGACGGGAAGUCGAUAUGCUAGUAUGUGCAAGCAAGGCCAAGACCUUGGCGCGCAAAGGUUUGCUUGGAAGGGCUUGACAAGGCAGUAUUGGCAAGGACGGGCGGCAGCAUGGCACGGCAUGCGCGCCAAACGGAUGUGCAAGCAAGGCCAAGACCUUGGCAUGGGCAAGGUUUGCUUGGAAGGGCUUGACAAGGCAACGGACNNN